GCUUCCCAGAGUUAAAGGUGCAGUUUCUCUGCUGGGCUUUCAGUGAAAGGGAGAACCUGGCAGGAAUUCCCCCUUUCUCCUCUGACUGGCCUGACUGGGCCUUUCAGCUCCUUAAGCACAAUGGUUCAGACUCUUUCCUACUAGCCAUGACCCCCAGCAGCCCUGCUGGGACCCUGGGGGCUGCACCUGCAGAAUAUGAAACUGACUGCAGCUGGAGAUCCCCAGACUACAAAGUGAGGAAUGCCUGACCACCCUGAGGAGUGCUUGGUGCCAGAAGCCUGGAUGGACAUAUCAGUCUUCCUUUCCUGACUCCUUUACUUCAAGCUAUUUCCCACACACUUCAUGGUGGGGAAUUGCCCCUCGAAUUGCAGAAAGUCAUUCCUCAUAACGAACAUUUGAAAAGAAAGAGAAAAGCAAUUUGGCGAAACUAAUGAAAACAUUGAAUGUACCAGACAGUGUAUGCAGCAUUCCAUACCAGAGACCACCACCCCCUGCCCUCUUCAAUGAAGGAAAAGAGGUGUAUUGUCUUAACUGGAAGAAUUCAAUUUUACCUGGAAACAUGAGAAAUCAUCUGUCUCUCCAGGUUUAUCAUAGAGAUGGGAAAAGAACACAGAGAUCUCCAACACCCACACAAAUCACAAAUCCCCUUAACAACCUCCUUAACAGGUAAUCAUCCAAUAGGUUUAGGUGAACAAUGAAUCACAAGGUUUAUAUGCAUCUUGAAAUAAUGUAUAGCCUUAUUUUAAAUUUGAAUUAAAAGUACAAGUUCCAUUAACCAAAAGGUGUUAAAAUGAACAAUGUAAUAUUAGAUGAAGUAGAAAAAGCACUAACUCCUCGUUUUUUUCUUCCCCAGUGGACAAUAAGCUCCCUGAGGACAGGGUUUGUUUUAUUUUUGUCUCUGUGUCUCGAGCUUCUAGCAUAUAAUUGACCUGGAACACAGUAGCUCCUUAAUAAGUACUCCCCCAAGCUUCCCAACCUAGGUGAUACCCUUGACUCCUCAUUCUCACCUUCCAUAUCCAAUCUUCUGCCAAGUC